CCCCUGUUUGGACACCUGCCUUGCUCCGGCAUGUGGCAUUGUUACGACCAUCUCGAAGGAAUACCUGGAUCUGACCUCACUGUUUCUGAUACUGGAUUCCAGAGACACUUCAGAGUGUACCUGCACUGAGGCAAACAUGGUUAGCAUUUAGGCCUGGCUAAAGAGUGUUCUGAAUUUCACUGCUAAUUCUGAUAUUACAAAACAUCCAUUACCCUGGAGCUUUGUCUAGCAAAAGAAGGAGAGAGUUCAGACACACCUGAAAGAGGGAACACCAGUGCAAAACAAGGAACUUGCCAUGAAGGGCUGCGUGAGAUGGCUCCUGCUCAAGGCAGGCAUUCUGCCACCCUGCAAAGUCCAUCAGAUGUAAGCAGUAGCUCCUGAGUCUGUGUCACACUGCCUGCAGGAUGUUCUGCAAGACAACUGGUGAUGUGAAGAGUGUGAGCUCGGGGGCUGAUAAAAACCAGCUGUUGUCAGAGCCCAUCCUGUGCACAGUGGCUGUGUGUGGCCUGCAGAAGGAACAGUUCUCUGAACUGGAGACUGAAAUGGUGAAACCCUACAGCUUUCAGAGAUCUAGGAAGGAGCACCAUGACUGAACAGGCCUGGCUGAAACACUUCAUGGCAGUGAUGCUGAUGGCGGUUGGCUGCUCAUAGAACAAGAGGAUGGGUGUUCUCCUGGCUUUGUGAGCUGUGAGAGGAGAGAAGCUGCUGGCUAGAGCUUGAUGGUGAGAGCAUGGUGUGGUGAGUAAAGGAGAGCAGGAUGCAGACAGGUCCCAAGUGUCCCUGUCUCAGGAGGCACCCAGUGGCAUCAGGCAGAGGAAGUGCUGCAGCACAGCUGGCCAGGAAGGCCACGCGGAGGAGAGGACCCGAGUGUGACCAGCCAGCCCAUUCCUUAUCCAGCAAGUGGUCCAUCUGUCAGAUCCAUGCCUCUCCAGUCUAGCUGUCGUGUGGGACAGUGUGAGUUGCCACGCGUGCGGGUGGGUGACAUCAGUUGCUCUUUCCUUAUGCAGCCAUGCUCUAGCCAUUGUUACCGAUGCGAUCAGGGAGUAAGGUGGGAGCUACAUCCAAUGUCUGCACCACACGCCGAUGAGCCCCUCAGAUACCAUCUGGCAAUUGUGAGGUGCUGUGGUGGAGCAGGGCAGGAAGCGUGUUUAUGUGUAACACUGCAGCAGCUGUUUGGGUCACAGCAGGGAAGAGGGAAGGGAGGGUCACUGUUGGUGUUUGAGGCCAGAAGAGAUGUAUGAGGAGAGCCCCAAAGAAAAGCUGGGAGAGCUGUUUGCCUGUGCUAGGUGUGACUGUGUUUCCCAAACAGGGGCUGAUGCUGUGAGUUACUUCUGACUGACAGCCUAAGGCCAUCAUCCUGCCUUGCUCACAGAGUGGGUGAGGUUGGAAGGGACUUCCUGAUGCUUACUCCAAGCCCUUGCUCAGCCUCUGGUGCCUUGUCCCCUCUGAACAUCUCCAAGGAGAUCUCUACAAGUUCUAUUGGCAACCUGUUCCGGUGACUGGUUUACUUGAGAGUAAACCUUUUCUCUUAAUGUUUAAAUGGACUUUCCUGUCCUGUGUUUCGUUUCCUGCCCAUUGCCUCUGUCUGCGGUUUUGGUUGUGCUGUGACACGGGUGCUACAAAAUGUCAUCAGUCAGCCUGGGUGCCCUUUGAAGGUACCGCCUUUUCCAUUGGCAGCGACAUAAAAACCUGGUUUGGGUUUUUGCCUUCCCACCCCUCAACCAUGAAUGUCUCUUCCCACAUUAUCCAUUUAAAAUGUCACUUUCCUGGGCAAUCCUGUGGGUGUCUUCACCUUUAUUAAAAUUCCGGAACCCGAGCUUAACUUGUUAACAAUUUAUGUUCAUAUGUACGAGGAGGAGGAACAUAAAGAUGAUGUAAGGAUAGACAGGUUUGUAAAACCAGCCAUUUCUUCAAGGGACGGCUGCUGCAGCAAUACCCUGCUUGCACGAUGCCCUAUAUGAGUGUCUGUUUUGAGCGAGUUUUACACGUGACCUGCACCCUGAUCAUGAGUUCUUUUUAGGCUGCACACCCGCCUAUCGGCCUCAUCAGCGUUGAUGCUGUGGACCCACAUCAGUGGUUUCUUGAGCUUUGAGAAAAACCCAGUUCUUGUUCUUAGGUAAAUACAAGAACCCUUCUGUUUCAGAGCAGCGUGCAGCCAUGUGCACACUGUGUGUGCCAGAACAGACCCUUUCAAGAGCUCCAGAAGACUUUUUUAGCCUCUUUGUUUCAUCUGCAAGACCAAAAAGGAAAGAGAGGUUUCUGCGACUGGGAAGCAGGAGAGGAGAGCGGAGUGACAAGACUUCACCUGUACCGUAGCUGAUGGGGGGCUCACAGACCAGAACACACACAGCCUAUUGCACAGAUCGGCUUUCCUGGCAGCCCCGGGCAGCACUUGCAGGGACAGAGGUAUGGGACGCCUAAAAAAGUCACUGAAAGAGACUAAAAGACAAGGACAGCUGGAAAAAACAUGAAUGAAAAAGGAAAUAAAUAAAAUGUGUAAAGAAAAUAAAAAGCAAAAGAGAA